rnacentral:lncRNA from 1 species
GUAAGAUCAUAAUUAUUUGUGAAUUAGGUCCAUUCUGCUCCCUCCAGUACUAGGAAUGUAGACUGUUAUUUUCAUUACUGCCACUAAGCUAGGAAGCAGGAAAUGAAAGUAGAGUAAGUUAAAACUGCCAUAAAACUUGCUUUUUGUUAUUACUGAGAUUCUGCCAUUUUUCUCGCAUAAAUGCUUCCCAGGUUGCUGAAAACUUCUGGUUAAUUUCCAGAGUUCAAAAAAAGUUUGUUCUGACAAUAUUUGCCAGUUUUUUUCACUGCUUUUAUUUAUGGGCAAAUAUUCAGAGGUCUUUACUAUAUCAUUUUUGCAGAUGUCACCCAGCCAUGUCAUGUUAAUGUAGCAACCAAGAAAGAAGAAGAGGCAAAAAAGGAGCUGUAAAAGGGGACUUGAGUGCAGCUAUGGAGUAUAUUUUAUUUGUGGAGGAUUUCACAGCCAACCUUACGCCUUAUGCAUGAGCAAACUUAUGCCUUGAAAGAAGGAAGAUAAAGGACCAAUGUGGGAUGCCAACCACUUCUGGGAAAGCUGAGUGAUGAUUCUGUGCACAGUUGAAGUUCACCUGGGCCAGUGUUGAUUGACUGCUAUUUGAAAACACAACGGUGUUGAAAUGCUACAAAAGAGAUACACCUUAUCUUGGACAGAGGUGGCAUCCAUUUUGGAAGGGGUGGCAGGUUUCACAGAUGGACACUGAAAGAGCUAUUAAAGCUUUACUUUUCCUGUUUAAAUAUAUCUUUAGCAACUGAGGAUGCCUCUGUCCUUAGGACAUGUCCCUUUUAGAAACCGCUUUUGACUUUUGAUAGUAUUCUCAUGAUUCCAGCCCCACCCCCAUCCUGGGAAUGUCAGUAUAUUUUUUACAAAAUACUUUGAAACAAAAUGAUGAAAUAGAGCAUUCCUCAUAAUUGUUGAAGCUAUUUAGCAUAGAAUUUUCACACUGUGAUUAGAAAUUCACAAGAAAGUGAGGUGCUAAUAACAGAGCAGGCAAAGAGCUCAUUGUUAGCAGUGAGUACAUCAUACUUAAAUGAAGUGACAAGCCUCUUCUUUUUGUCAGAAUUGUAUUUUUUCCAUAUGCUAACAAUUAGAUGACAUUGCUUUUGUGUUAAAUUUGCAGGAGGAUCCCACAUGGAACACAUACUUACGAGGUUUUAGCAUUUUCACCAUUACUCACAUUGUCUUACAUGUUUGAGGUGACUCAGUUCACAAUGCAAGCUCAUUUCUUAGUCUAGACUAGAAUUGCAGACAUUCAUUACAUAUAGGGACAUUGUUGUAACUUAAUAAAAUGAGCCAAAACAUUUAAAACUCUUUGACUCCAGAAAGAAAUAAAAAUUUUCACCAAAGCUCAAGAUACUGUAUCAGUUAAUGAAUAAUUCAAUCGAACUUAUUAAUAAAGUCACUUAACACUAAAUAACUUAGACUGAAUACAAUCUGGUUUUAAAUGAGGUUAAAAGUUUACAUUAAAGACUUAUUAAGGCUUACUGGCCUAUUGGUCUUCUAAUCUAGAUCUUUAGCUAAAAUUGAAUGUAGUAAAUUUCACUUUUUAAUUGGAAACCUUUGGGAGGUUGUAAGAUUUUAAUAAUCUUAAAUACAUUAUUUUUCAAUUUGGAAAUAAUUAACAGCAUUUGUCAUUCAUGAAAAUUUGUAUAUCAUUCAUAAUUUUAUUGCAAUUAAAUCCUCUCCUAGCA